GUUAACCACUCUGUUUGUCCCACAUGAAUGUGACAUUUAAUGUCAUCGAGCCUAUUUGACUAAUCAAAAAAAGGAUUUCCCGCCACACCCAUCUCACAGAAUUGGUAUGUCGUGACAAGCACAACGAACAGGCAGAGGAGGAGGAGGAGGAGGAGGAGGAUGAAGACGAGCAGCAUUAGUCACUCUGUCAGCUGUAGAUCCGUGGAUUCAGAGCCAAACCCUGACCGAAAUACUCCCGGACCGCAGUCACUCACCCACUGAUGCUGCGACCGGUCACAUCAGGAUCACGGCAUGAAAGCCUGAUUAUUGCUUUAUUUAAAAAAAGAUUUUUUUUUUUUUUUUUUUGCAUUACAUUAAUGAAACUCAUUAUCAUGAAAAUAAUGUAAAAUUCUAAUGUCAUAAAUAUGUUAAGCUAAACGUUCAGAUAAAACUAGCUUUCACCUGAAGGCCAGGAACAACAGGAAGUCAGUAAAGUAUUAGCGAUGACCAACUCAAGCGGUCUGCAAGAGUGAGCUUAAACUAUCCCAAAAAUCCUUUCAAAACCAGCUGUCAGUUUAUUGUUUGCCUGCCGAAAUGUCUCCAGAAGUCGGCCGAAGCAAUAAGAAAUCCCAUCUCGUCAAAGGCGGCUCUGUUGCGCUUCAGUAAUGGCUCCUGUGGUUUUUUGUUCUCGGCGGUUGUUCCUCCUCAGUUGUUACACUGCUGAAAGAAAAGCUGAGGCCGGCAAACAUUUCCCCGGCUCAUCACCGCAAACAGGCUUCUGGAAACAUCUAACACCCAAUAUCUGACUAAGCGCUUCUCCCAUCUCUGUCUGUUGGCGGCUUUAUUCACUUGCGAGCUCACAUCCAUCAGAGGACGGGAAGAUUAAAGCCCUCGCUCAUAUUUCCGGCCCCGAUCCCAUUUCAUGCCAAAGAUAGAAUUCCAAGUUCAUUACCGAUGUUUUCCAUCCAGAAGUUUUUUGCUAACUGACAGUCUGAAAAUCACUGUCAGCGUCAAAUGCUGUCUGCAACCCGGAUUAUUUCCAUAUGAAUCAGGAUAUUUAAUUUGACAAAAAAAAGUUGGACUUUUGUUCUAUCUUUAAUUGAUCAGGUGGUGAAACUUGGGUGUGUUGUACCAGGAUGGAAAAAGCACAAAAUGUUUUGGAGCAAAUUAUUCAUUAUUCCAUUUUGUCUUAAACAAAAUACAAAGGUCCAUUUUGAUUACAUGUUGGCUACAGGAAGUGUUCGGUUCAGCAGAUCUGUUAAGCCAUAAAAAAUAUCUGUCUGCCUCUCUUUCUGUCUAAAAAUAAGUUUCUGUCCGUCUGAAAAAGUGUCUGCCUGUCUCUGUCCAAAAAAAUAUAUAUAUACCUGUCUAUCUGAAAAAAGUCUGAAUAAGUAUAUGUCUGUCCAUUUGAAAAAAGUGUCCAUCUGAAAAAAUGUCUCUGUCUAAAAAAAUGUCUGUCUUUCAGUCUCUCUGUCUGAAAAAAAGUAUGUCUGUCCAUCUGUCUCUGUCUAUCUAAAAAAGUGUCUGUUUUUUUGAAAAUAAGUCCAUCUCUCCAUCUUUAAAAAAAACUUUUUGAAAAAAGUACUGUAUGUGCAUUUUCCUCUUUGUCUAUCUGUCUGAAUAAGUGUCUGUCUGUUUUACGUCAGUAUAAAAAUAAGUAUCUGUCUGUCCAUCCGAAAAAAUGUCUGUCUGAAAGAGUCUAUAUCUUUUAGUCUCUCCUACCGUCUAAAAAAGUAUGUGUCUUUCCAACUGCCUAGAAAUAACUCUCUAUGUCCAUCUGACAAAGUGUCUGUUUGAAAAAGUCUCUCUGUCUGGAAAAAAGUCUGUCUGUCUCUCUAUCUGUCUAUCUGAAAAAAAAAAACAUCUGUCUGUCUUUCUCGGUCCAAAAAAGUAUCUGUCCAUUUGCCUCUCUGUCCAUCUGAAAAAGUGUCUCUGAAUAAGUAUCUGUCUCUCUGUCCAUCUGAAAAAAAGAGUGUUUAAAAAAAUAUCUCUGAAAAAAGUAUGUCUGUCCAUCUAAAAAAAGGGGGCCUGUUGGUCAGUCUUAAAAGAAUAUGUCUGUCUGAAAAAUGUAUUUGUGUGUCUGUUUCUCUGUCCCUGUCUGUCUGGAAUAAGUAUCUUUAUGCAUCC
ensembl:lncRNA